rnacentral:rRNA from 1 species
UACGUAGGGGGGCAAGCGUUGUCCGGAUUCAUUGGGCGUAAAGAGCGUGUAGGCGGCCAGGUAGGUCCGUUGUGAAAACUUGAGGCUCAACCUCGAGACGUCGAUGGAAACCAUCUGGCUAGAGUCCGGAAGAGGAGAGUGGAAUUCCUGGUGUAGCGGUGAAAUGCGCAGAUAUCAGGAAGAACACCUAUGGCGAAGGCAGCUCUCUGGGACGGUACUGACGCUGAGACGCGAAAAGCGUGGGGAGCGAACAGG